rnacentral:rRNA from 1 species
GACGUAGGGCGCGAGCGUUGUCCGGAUUUAUUGGGCGUAAAGAGCUCGUAGGCGGCUUGUCGCGUCGUUCGUGAAAACCCGGGGCUCAACUCCGGGCUUGCGGUCGAUACGGGCAGGCUAGAGUUCGGUAGGGGAGACUGGAAUUCCUGGUGUAGCGGUGAAAUGCGCAGAUAUCUGGAGGAACACCGGUGGCGAAGGCGGCAUCCUGGACCAACACUGACGCUGAGUGAGCGAAAGCCAGGGGAACAAACGGG